CAACAUAACUAAAUAACAAUAUAACUUCUCAAGUAUAACUUUGUCAGCAGUGAUAUCUGUCAACUUUCACACCUGGGAGCAUCUCUUUCUACAUGUUCUCAGCAUUGAAAGAGACUCUUUCCUGUGACCUUCUGACAUGCUGUCUCAAUUUUACUGAUUUAAUAUGACAACUAGUGGUCAAUUGAAUCAGUUGUUGCCAAUUUCUCAAGCUGGUCAAUUGUGUGUGCCUCAGUUACUUCUUUCAGAGACGUUGAUUUUAUUUUCUUGUUGGAUACAUCGGCUUUACAUCAGUAAUGGAUAUUUCUGCAACCUCCGCUGUAGAUACUUCAUCCCUCUUGUCUGCAACCACAUCUUCUACAGUGGAUUUAUGGAAUAUGAACUGUCUUCGAGAACUUUUAUCUUAUUGACCCAACCUGCAAACACCAGAUCCCUACUCCUCUACAAGUUAUUUAUUCCCUUGUGCUCUAUUGUGAACUCUCUCUCUUACGUGCAACUGAGUUAUCGUAUCUACAUGCCUAGAAUUUCCUAAUUGGCUUGAUAGUCUUAUUCUACUAAUCUUAUGUGCAAAUUGUUAAGAACAAAUAAAUGGGUAUAUGUGUUUGUAUAACUUUUCUGUGAAUGCAUUACUUCCAUCAUGCUGUCUCACAGUCUUCCACCCGGAAUCCUGUUGCUUAUGCAUGUGACCUCUCGUGUGACCUAGUUUCUAACAAAAACCAUUUGCCGUUGCAGAUUCUGCAUUUAACGGGACACAGUGGUAUUAUCCUGACAUGGCAUUGAAAAGGUUUGCCAUGUCAAUUUGUGACUCUCCAGUCACAAAUUUUUCUCUGUAGGAGUCAAGGUUUUUGAACACUGGUAUACCACCUUUAUCACUAUAAAAACAGACUAUGUUGUUCAGUUUGCACCAACAUUUGGUUUUAUAGGCUGCUAUCAUUGUAUUAGAUUUGAAUUUUUUUAUGUGUUUAUAUAUAUAUAUUGCAAUUUUGUAGAGAGUCUGUUUUUGGUUUUAAUCGUAGUUUCUGCUGAUAGAUAAUUACAGAAUAUUUCUACAUGUGCUAUUGAUGAUUCUAUAGGAGGAAGAUCAUCAGGAACAAAUUUGUGGCUGAAUUUGAAUGCUUCCUCCACAUAUUUUUGAUUGAUGACUGGCCGUCAAUGUCAAUUCGAGCAGUGUUAGUGGACAUGAGCAUCGAAGCUAGAAUUCCAACUUUAGAUACUUUAAAAAGAUAUGUUUCUUCUCUUUCUCAUCUCAAAAUAAAUGAGGUAAGUUUAACCAAUAUAAACUAAAUUAACAAACAUUUUUUUUUAAGAAAAGAAAUUUUAAACAUUUUAUACUAAAAAAAAUAAUAUAUAAAUGAUCUGGAUUGACCAUAUAUAUUAUUGUUUAUGCUAAAUCUAAUGCACUACAUAUAAUGAUUUAUUAAUGACUAAGGGAUUCAGUACUACAUUAACAAUAAGCUUUAAUGGUUAAAUAGUAAAUAAUUUCAGAAACAUUUGAAAAGAAGAAUGAUUUAGGGCAGGAUUUUGUUGUACUGUACAACAUAAAAUCAU